AACUCUAACUGUUUCUUGGCAUUUCACAAGACAUUUUCAAUAAUCAAUGGCUUUCUCCGAUGAGGGAAAAUUCGUUAUCCAAUAGUACUACAGAAUAAUUGUAUUGCAAUAAAUUGUUAAAAUGUCAAUAUUAAUAAAUAAUAAUAAAAAAUAAUGUAAAUUUUAAUACCAAUAUCAUUUUAUUAAACAAUGCUGAGUUGAGAAACUUUAGAAUCCUAUAACAAACUGGUAAAAAUAUUGAAGUAUAUAUAAUUCAAACAUGACUGUAAUAUCCAUUGAACUUGAUUGAAGGAUCUAUUAGUGACGUUUUUUCGAUGUUACGCAUAGCGGUAAAAUCGACAACCAAAAUACAUAUUGCAUGUUUGCGUGUCACUAACUUAUGAGUUAUGAACGAAAGAACUAGUAACAAGCUAACGAUAAGGCACCAUGAUUAUAAAAUACGUUGUAAGUUGUAGACAGCAUCAUUCAGCAUUCUAAACAUAUCUA